rnacentral:rRNA from 1 species
AACGAACGCUGGCGGCAUGCCUAACACAUGCAAGUCGAACGAGACCUUCGGGUCUAGUGGCGCACGGGUGCGUAACGCGUGGGAAUCUGCCCUUGGGUUCGGAAUAACAGUUAGAAAUGACUGCUAAUACCGGAUAAUGUCUUCGGACCAAAGAUUUAUCGCCCAGGGAUGAGCCCGCGUAGGAUUAGCUAGUUGGUGAGGUAAAGGCUCACCAAGGCGACGAUCCUUAGCUGGUCUGAGAGGAUGAUCAGCCACACUGGAACUGAGACACGGUCCAGACUCCUACGGGAGGCAGCAGUGGGGAAUAUUGGACAAUGGCGAAAGCCUGAUCCAGCCAUGCCGCGUGUGUGAAGAAGGCCUUCGGGUUGUUAAGCACUUUAAGCGGGGAGGAAGGGCGUACGGUUAAUACCUGUGAGCAUUGACGUUACCCG